CAGCAAGACCACACCUGCUGAACUCCGAGGAACUCCAGCACUGGAGGGCUGUGAUUGCAGUGAUGGAGAUGAAACCCUUUCCCUCGAGCAGGUGCUACGUGGGGCUGACCUGCCUCGCCUGGUAAGAAGAUGACCACAAGGAACUGCAGAUUUCUGGAGCACGUUACGCAGUCUGGAAGGGAAGAAUUCAGACCACACAUCAGCUGCCGAGCAGAAGAUGUUCUCAGCUGGGCUCCCAGCACCGCAGCCUUGCCAAUGGAUUUGCUGUGCCCGUCUGCCUGGGAUGAGCUGGCAGCUGAUAACGUGAUUCACUGUCCUUGGGGAUUUCUGUCUUUCUCCAUGGAUUAUAGAGGGACAGAGGAUAACUAUCCUGGAUGCACCACCAGAUGCCUUCACAGCUGGAGUCAGGUGAGCUGCAUUUCCCCAGUGUGUGCUCUGCAGCACAGGUUGGUUUAACCCGUUUAACAGAACCACCCAGCGUGUUGGUGUUGGAACACGCAGGUGCAUCCAGGCUGAUAAUCGCAGCAGGCAGGCAGAGGAAGCCAGGCAAUGAGCCCUAAUGGGAUCUGGGUGCAACCACACCGCAGCACAUCCCAGCCAGGCUGUGGAAUCUGGCACGGGCAGUGCAGCAGCUCUCCAGGCUGCGUCCCGGCACACCCACAAGGGCACUCACACAGCAAGCACUUUUCUGAGCAGUGAACAUUUCGGUGUGAGAGCGUGAAUGAGAAAGCCAAAACCCACCGACAGCGUGGAGCUGCACUGACUGCUCAAGAAAGCCAAGCCAUGGAGGGAUUGCUGUUUUGGAUUGUGUUUCCAAUGUCUUGCAAGGCUUGAAUGAGAGUAACCCUCCAAAUGUGCAUUGCAGCCACUGGAUGUGCUCUGCUGCCCCAGCCUCCAUGUCUGUAUCUCUCAGCAUCAGGCUAAGGCAUGCCUGCUCUUGUUUGACCAGGAAUCCUUCUGGGGCUUUGGCUGAGCUGAGAUUUUACAAUGAAUGGAUCCUUGCCAGCAUUCAGCCCAUGAAGGAGCUUUGCCCACCUUCAGCAGCACGCCGGUGUUCGCGAUGGGAACCACUGUCAGGCGUGAGUUACAUCUCCUGCCCCGAAGGGAGCGGGAAGAGCUGAGGCAGGGAACAUCCAUCCAAACAAGUUUGUACACACAGAGGAUUUUGUAACACACUGCCUAGAAGAGACGUGAAGACAUGGAGAAGAAUAUGGAGACUAUUGUAAGGAUCACAGCCCUGCCCCUGCAGGAAGCACGCACAACGCUCUGCCUAGGGAUGGGAGCCAAGAGGUCAUCUCUAAAAGAAAAUUCUACCAUUAUUAUUCUUACCAUACUAAAUUCUUCCUGUUGAUUUUAUUUUUUACCCUAACAAUGAAUCCCCGGUCAUAAAAGGUAGGAUGACCUCAGAAAGAAUUCCGGAGCAUCCUUUCCAUUUGAUUGAUAAGGAGAGCCAGAGCGAGAGAUGGAGCUGCUGCUACACUCCUCAUCCCAGGGAGUGCAUGACUGAGAGCACUAUGGAACAGGAGAGCUUCAGCAGCUUGUGUGGGUUCAGAGGGGGGAGUGAUCCAUGAUCCCACACGUGCUGCACAGACAUGAACCCCUCCUGGUGCAGUCCCCAGAUGAGCCGCCCUCUGCAGCAGCAAGCAGCUGCAGCACUAGCCAAGUCUGGACUGAAUCUCCCCAGCAGCACGGGUUUGCACAGGGUCCCUGUGUGGUCCUGGUUUCCUGCUUGACCCCCAUUCCCCGCAGGAUCCUGCUCUGGGGCAGUGAUGUGAGGGCUGCCCAGUCUCACUGCGAUGUUCCUUCCGCUGGUGAAACGGGUUGGAGGCUUCUGUGCCUGAAAACAAAUCUGCAGAAGAGCCUUCCGUGUUGGAGGCAUCCCCUGAGCUCUCUUCCCAUUUCCCUCCCCAGCAGAAUCCGUCCUCCUGCUCCUGAGUACUGCGUGUCUCAGCACAACGGGGACCCGUGUCUGGCUGCGGUCUGGCUCAUAACAGCAACAGGAGGAGGAGAGGAUACAAAUCCCCACCUAAAGAGGACGUGGAUGCCAGCACAGGGCUGAGCUGCACAGCCGGGCUCCCAGGAGGAAUGGGUGCAAUGGGAAACUCCCACUCUGGGACUGGCGGCAGCACAACGGCGGCCACAGGGCUGAUAUCCCCCCGGCUGUGAUCUGCCCUGUCCAGGGCUGCGGGAAGGAUCUGUUCUGCUGACAGAGACACAUUCCCGAGCAGCUUCUGGCACCGAGUGGUGCUCCCACUCCUUUCCACUCCUACUGGUGUAGAGUGGAGUAAAUCAAUGCCAAAUCAGGUGUAAAACAGGAGAAUCCGGCCCGGGCCAUUUCAUUCUCCUAGAUUUAAGCAGGCUCCUAAUCUUCAUCAGUGUUGCUUCCUGCUUGAAAUGCUUUUCAUUAGCUGCUCAUUCAGCAAACACAACCACUUCUGCUUCCUCAGCAAAACGCGUGCCGCGCUCCUUGCUCGGCAGCAGAAGGAAAACAUUUUAUUGCAUUUUAAUCACCGGCGGUUUCAGCAG
ensembl:lncRNA